rnacentral:lncRNA from 1 species
GCUUCGACUGGGAACUUGAAGCUCUUCUGCUGUCAAAUGCAUUCAACAUAACUGAGAAUCUAACAUAAAAGUUGAAUGUAAGUGUAAGAGAGUUCCAGGUUCUUACGUUCCUGGUGUUUAAGAGUUUUGCUGUUUCGCAAGUAUAUUCUGUCUGUGAUGUUAAGUGAAGGUCUUACACACACAAACACAUAAAACAUGUCAGGGAAGGGAAGACUUGAAUAUUUGAGUGUGAUGUCUGAUGUUUGAAUUAAAUCAACAUAUUUUCAUGCAAAUACAGAUUUUCACAUCUAACAUUGGUAUUUGGUAGGAAUUGUGCUGCAGUAAUCUAUUGUUUUGUGUCUUAUAUAAAGGCGUGUGAAUGAGAGUAAUAGGGUUGUGAGGGACCAUUGGUCGGAGCCCGACACGCACGCUCCUCACGACCCCGCCUCGCCACGGAUGUCGCAACGAUCGGAAGCGCUCGGUGCGCGGUGGGAGGGCUAGGGGGGGGACUAAUGCCACCAGGUCUCUGUGAUUCGAUUAAACCUGCAGGAAAGCUGGCGUUUCAGCUCACGGGAUGUCGGGAGUUGGCGAGGUGGGGUGCGGGGGUCAAAAACAGAAGUUCGUGAACCCGCACAGCAGUGCAGGUCGACACGGAAAUGACUUCCUGUUUGUGGACAUUUUAACCAGCCCGAUCCCCAAGACAGACUUUGAAUGGAUCGCUAAUAAAAGGGCUUAGCUCGCCCGGGCUGGACCGGUUCCAUUGAGAGAAGAGGCGGGGCGGCGGCGGGGGGGCGUGGCUGCUGUCCGACUUCCACAGAUCAGCUAUUUAAAGCUGGAAGCGCCACGCGAGUUCUGGAGAGGCUGGUGAGAACUUGCAGCUCCUCGGGACCUUCCUCCACGGAGAAUUUCACGUUCCCGCAUCAGGCUCCCACACAUCCCUCGGAUCCAUGGGUGUGAAAGUGCUCCAGUGCUUUCCAUUCUACAGACGCUGCAAGGAGAGGUGCAAGGGGAGACAGUGCCCUCCAGAGGCAGUGGCCACUGAUGAGGUGAAACCCCGACUCACCUCAACAACAUCAGUGACCAGUGAUGGGGAGGGCGGAGGCCCUCAGGUCUACUUCUCCCACAAGGCUCGUCUCUCCCUCCGACACCAGCUAGACAGCAACAUCAAUGCUGUGGAUGCCACUUACUAAAGCCCUCGAGCCCAAAGCUCCAGUGACUGUUGCUUUCCAAAGGAUAGUAAAAAGAUUUGACCUUUGAUCUCAUAUCACCUCUGAGUGGAAUGCUGGGAGGAGGAAGAGAAGAAUGUGGAGGUGUAACGGGGAACGUGUGACUGACCGGCUCAUGUUGAAGCUACCAGAUUUCACCCCCAACAUUUACCCCAUACAGAUAUCACAAAUAAUAGUGAUCACUAUUCACACCGAAAUGGGAAGAGUUGAGGACACAACGUUUACAUUUUCAGUCCAGAAAGUGCAUUUUAUUUUGCCUGUGUAUUUUUCUGUGUGUGAGAGAGAAUACAGAAGAGUGAUAAUUUAGCAGUUCGGUUGAGAGUACAUUGGAGUUACUAGCCAACAACUCCACGGUUUUGAUUAUUUUUUUAAGAUACAUUUGUACUAAUCUUUAGAAAUUUGAGAUGAGCAAGUGCUUUCUGUAACCCGUAGGGAUUUUUCAGCCUACAGACUCUUAACAAUAUGUCUCCAGUCCAAACAGUCUAACAAGAUAUAUGUAGCUAUAAUCACAAAUCUGUUGUUUCAGUGUUGCCCACAAUUUUGGUAUGUAAUAUCAUGUGUAAACAAGAGAAACUUUUCUUAAGAGGUUUAUUUUUUUCAACUUUGCAAAAAAUAUUAAUAAAACUCAUGAAGUUCUUAA